rnacentral:rRNA from 1 species
AAAGUUGUUGCAGUUAAAAAGCUCGUAGUUGGAUAUCUGCCGGAAGCAGCCAGUCCGCCUUUCCGGGGUGUGCACUUGGUGAAUUCUGGCAUCCUCCUGAUUGGUGUCGUCACACUUCAUUGUGAUGAUGGCAGCUAUCAGCGCCGUUACUUUGAGAAAAUUAGAGUGUUUCAAGCAGGCUUGUUGCUUUGAAUACUGCAGCAUGGAAUAACAAGAUAGGAUUUCCGUUCUAUUUUUUUGGUUUCUAGGACUGAAGUAAUGAUUAAUAGGGACAGUUGGGGGCAUUCGUAUUUAACUGUCAGAGGUGAAAUUCUUAGAUUUGUUAAAGACGAACUACUGCGAAAGCAUUUGCCAAAGAUGUUU